UCAGAUAUGGUGUAACGGUAACAUGGCCUCAUCCAAUUGUCGAGGCCGUCCCGGGUUCGACUCCCGGUAUCUGAC